rnacentral:rRNA from 1 species
CCGUGCCAGCAGCCGCGGUAAUACGGAGGAUUCCAAGCGUUAUCCGGAUUUUAUUGGGUUUUAAAAGGGUGCGUAGGCGGACCCAUAAGUCAGUGGUGAAAGUUUGCAGCUUAACUGUAAAAUUUGCCGUUGAAACUGUGGGUCUUGAGUGUAAAUAAAAGUAGGCGGAAUGUGUUGUGUAGCGGUGAAAUGCUCAGAUAUAACACAGAACACCAAUUGCGAAGGCAGCUUACUGGGAUACAACUGACGCUGAGGCACGAAAGCGUGGGGAUCAAACAGGAUUAGAUACCCUGGUAGUCCACGCAGUAAACGAUGAAUACUAGCUGUAUGCGAUAUACUGUAUGUGGCACAGCGAAAGCGUUAAGUAUUCCACCUGGGGAGUACGUUCGCAAGAAUGAAACUCAAAGGAAUUGACGGGGGCCCGCACAAGCGGAGGAACAUGUGGUUUAAUUCGAUGAUACGCGAGGAACCUUACCCGGGCAUGAAAUGCAUCUGACCGACUUGGAAACAGGUCUUCUAGCAAUAGCAGAUGUGUAGGUGCUGCAUGGUUGUCGUCAGCUCGUGCCGUGAGGUGUCGGCUUAAGUGCCAUAACGAGCGCAACCCCUAUCAUUAGUUACUAACAGGUCAAGCUGAGGACUCUAAUGAGACUGCCACCGUAAGGUGUGAGGAAGGUGGGGAUGACGUCAAAUCAGCACGGCCCUUACGUCCGGGGCGACACACGUGUUACAAUGGGGGGUACAGAGGGUUGCUACUUGGUGACAAGAUGCUAAUCUCUUAAAGCCUCUCUCAGUUCGGAUCGAAGUCUGCAACUCGACUUCGUGAAGCUGGAUUCGCUAGUAAUCGCGCAUCAGCCAUGGCGCGGUGAAUACGUUCCCGGGCCUUGUACACACCGCCCGUCAAGCCAUGGAAGUCUGGGGGGACCCUGAAGUACGUAACCGCAAGGAGCUCCCUAG